GGCCCCUUGGUCAAGUGGUUAAGACAUCGCCCUUUCACGGCGGUAACAGGAGUUCGAAUCUCCUAGGGGUCACCA
rnacentral:tRNA from 1 species